rnacentral:lncRNA from 10 species
GGGAUGGCAGGGAUGUCAUCAGAAGGCCCCUCCGCCCUCAUGAUGAUCAGGACAUCCCUCUCACAGGUUGUAUGGAUGUCCAGGUGGUGUGUAGGGCUUGCUGAUGUCACAUCCACUGUCUCAAGUCUGGGGAGAACAACUCAGCUCAGACACCUGCAUUCAGAGAUGGCUGUGAGGGCUGCUGGUCUGUGGCUACUGGGCAAAUAUGAAUGAGGCGUGGUGCCCACCCUCACUGCGUUUGUAGAUCAGCUUGGGAGGAGCAUAUGCCACUGAUACAAUACCUGGGGCACUGUCUUGUUAUUGUAGACCUGUGUCAAGAGCCCUGGGCAGACAGCAGAGAAUUUUAGAGGCGUGAGCCACCGUGCCCGGCCGAAAAAUCCCUCUUUUGAGUUUGAGUGGUGAGAGUGGAAGCCUGGGACCUCCUAAGAGACUCCUAGAGUCAUCCAGGUGCGAGAAGGUGUCUUGGCCAUGGGGAUGGCAGAAGAAUGGUGGGAAGUAUCAGAUUCCAGUUGUGUUUUGGAGGAAGAGCUCAUGUGAUUUGCUGAUGGAUUGAAUGUGAGGUGUGUGACAGAGGAAGAAGAGUCAAAAAGGACUCUUAAGGUUUUGGUUUAAACAACAGUGGUGCCAUUUACGGGGUGAGGGAGCCCUGGAAGAGGGGCACCCUGGGGCAGGGGGAAUCAAGAGUUUGAUUUUGCCUGUACUGUUACUUAAUU